UAGCCUCUAUUGUAAUUACCUUUCCAC
rnacentral:piRNA from 1 species